CUGAUACUUCCUCCAUCCGAAAAUACUUAUUAUCAAAAUGUAUAAAAAAGAAUGUUCUAGAACUACGUCUAGAUACAUUCCCUUUUAUUCAUUUUGAUGACAACUAUUCCCAGACAGAGGAAGUAUCUG
rfam:Triticum aestivum genome assembly, contig: Triticum_aestivum_CS42_TGACv1_scaffold_592226_7BS